CAGGGAUAUGUGCUUAACGCACUGCUCUUCUCUCUCUACACCCAUGCCUGUGUGGUUAGGCAUCGAUAAACUCAUUUGAUGAUACAACUGUUGCCGGCAGAAUUUCACGUGAUGACGCGAAGAUAGAUUUUCAAAGGAGGGAAUAGUUGCAUCCUAAUAGCUGCUGAAGUCCUUUCAGUGUUGUUGGAACCACAUUCAUUCGGCCACGGGAUUGUGCUUUAUGGUGAAAAUAUUUUGGGCAUCAGGAGAUUUUGGAGUAGGUGUGAAUUAUCAACUCUGAGGAAUAUUGGGUUGGAUUGAACUCCACUCCUACAGCACCGGUUAAGACUGCCUCUCAUCCUCCCUUCAGUGGUUGU